CAGGCAGUCUAAAUAGGCAAAUCCGUUUAGACAAUGCUAGGAUGUGAUGGGGAAGCCCUUCGGGGCGAAGUAGCUGAUUUCACACUGUCAAGAAAAGCUUCUAUCGAGUUUAAAGGCGCCCGUACCGUAAACCGACACAGGUGGGUGAGGAGAGUAUCCUAAGGCCAGCGAGAGAACUAUUGUUAAGGAACUCGGCAAAAUGACCCCGUAACUUAGGGAGAAGGGGUGCCUGUCUAUGACAGGCCGCAGAGAAUAGGCCCAAGCGACUGUUUACCAAAAACACAGGUUUCUGCUAAGUCGCAAGACGAUGUAUAGGAGCUGACGCCUGCCCGGUGCUGGAAGGUUAAGGGGAUCUGUUAGAGCAAUCGAAGCAGUGAACUUAAGCCCCAGUAAACGGCGGCCGUAACAAUAACGGUCCUAAGGUAGCGAAAUUCCUUGUCGGGUAAGUUCCGACCCGCACGAAAGGCGUAACGAUUUGGGCACUGUCUCAACAAUAGACUCGGUGAAAUUGUAAUCCCGGUGAAGAUGCCGGGUACCUGCGACAGGACGGAAAGACCCCAUGGAGCUUUACUGUAGCUUGACGUUGGGUCUUGGUACUACAUGUACAGGAUAGGUGGGAGACUAUGAAGCAUGGACGCCAGUCUGUGUGGAGUCAUCCUUGGGAUACCACCCUUGUAGUACUGGGAUCCUAACCAUAGGCCUUGAAUCAGGUCUUGGAACACCGUCAGGUGGGCAGUUUGACUGGGGCGGUCGCCUCCUAAAAAGUAACGGAGGCGCUCAAAGGUUUCCUCAGCACGGUCGGAAAUCGUGCGAAGAGUGUAAAGGUGAAAGGAAGCUUGAUUGCAAGACAUACAGGUCGAGCAAGGACGAAAGUCGGACUUAGUGAUCCGGUGGUACCGCAUGGAAGGGCCAUCGCUCAACGGAUAAGAGCUACCCUGGGGAUAACAGGCUUAUCUCCCCCAAGAGUCCACAUCGACGGGGAGGUUUGGCACCUCGAUGUCGGCUCAUCACAUCCUGGGGCUGUAGUAGGUCCCAAGGGUUGGGCUGUUCGCCCAUUAAAGUGGUACGCGAGCUGGGUUCAGAACGUCGUGAGACAGUUCGGUCCCUAUCCGUCGCAGGCGUAGGAAAUUUGAGAAGACCUGUCCUUAGUACGAGAGGACCGGGAUGGACGUACCUCUGGUGUACCAGUUGUUCUGCCAAGGGCAUGGCUGGGUAGCUAUGUACGGAAUGGAUAAGCGCUGAAAGCAUCUAAGCGCGAAGCCAACUUCAAGAUAAGAUUUCCCACCGUAAGGGUAAGACCCCAGGAAGACUACCUGGUUGAUAGGUCGAAGGUGUAAGUGCAGUAAUGUAUUUAGCUUAUCGAUACUAAUAGGUCGAGGACUUGAUCA
rnacentral:rRNA from 1 species